AUUAGGAAUCUUGCGCAAUGGGCGAAAGCCUGACGCAGCGACGCCGCGUGACCGAUGAAGUCCUUCGGGAUGUAAAGGUCUUUUGCCAGGGAAGAAGAACGUGACGGUACCUGGCGAAUAAGCCCCGGCUAACUACGUGCCAGCAGCCGCGGUAAGACGUAGGGGGCGAGCGUUGUCCGAAGUCACUGGGCGUAAAGCGCGCGUAGGCGGCCUCUUAAGUUGGGUGUGAAAUCCUGCGGCCCAACCGCAGAACUGCAUCCAAAACUGGGGGGCUUGAGGACGGAAGAGGGCAGUGGAAUUCCUGGUGUAGCGGUGAAAUGCGUAGAUAUCAGGAGGAACACCCGUGGCGAAGGCGGCUGCCUGGUCCGUAUCUGACGCUGAGGUGCGAAAGCCAGGGGAGCGAACGGGAUUAGAAACCCUAGUAGUCC
rnacentral:rRNA from 1 species